rnacentral:rRNA from 1 species
UACGUAGGGUGCGAGCGUUGCCCGGAUUUAUUGGGCGUAAAGGGCGCGCAGGCGGCUACGCACGUCCGUUGUGAAAUCGCUCGGCUCAACUGGGCGGGGUCAGCGGAUACGGCGUAGCUGGAGCAAGCUAGGGGGCAAUGGAAUUCCCGGUGUAGUGGUGGAAUGCGUAGAGAUCCGGAAGAACACCGGUGGCGAAGGCGGUCUGCUGGGCGAGUAGCUGACACUGAGGCGCGACAGCGUGGGGAGCAAACAGG